GUCUAGCUUGACACACACUGGAAUUACUUGGGAAGAAGGGGCCUCCGGAGGAAUUGCCUCCAUCAGACUGGCCUGCAAUGGUGUCUCUCUGUUCCUCCCUUGACUCCUGCCCUGGCUGGCUACCAUUCACGAUGGACUGUGACCUAUUGCAGAGGGAGGGUCAGUAGACCCUAGGAGCCAGUGAAACGGAAAGGACCUGGGAAGCUCAAGGAACCGCGGAUGCUCAGCAGGCUCCGAAACACAAGGUUCCCCAGCCCGCUUCGACGGUCCUGAAAGCCGGAAGUACUUGCUGGAGAGAAGAGCCUUGGGUGGCGCUGCCGGCAAGUCAUACAGGGAGCUCCAGAGACAAAGAUGCUUCUCAACGCAUUGCUGAGAAGUGGUACUUGCUAAUCGAUCUGCACUGGGGAACUGAACUUGUUCAAACCCAAGAACUCCUUCAUUGGGAAUAUGAAGUGGUUUACAAGCUGACAGAGCAUCAAGAUGAGCCCUCCUCUGCCCAGGCCAGGGUCCUGACUCUGUAUCUAGGCACCAAGCUGAGUGACAUCAAAGGCGACUGGAUUCCUGGGCUUUGGGAAGUAUGGAGAGAUUGAUGUGAGCAACGGGAAACACAGACACUUGAGGUUCACCAGGACACUUGAUCGUCACCUGCCUUCUCAGGACUAUUCAAAAUGAAGGAAGACACUGAGUGGUCACGUGGAGGACUCUUCACCGUGGUGUGUCAACUCAUCUACCAUUUGCAGGGUGCUUAUUUUCUGAUGAAGAUAAGAAAGAGGCUAAAUAAGAGAUAAAUUGACUGACUUUACGUGUGGUUUGCAGAGCACAUGGUGGUGUCUAAACAGAAGCCUGAAGGAGGAGAAAAGGAAAUAGAAAUGCUCGCUGUUCUUCAAAACUGAAGGGAG